CCUGGUAUCAGCCGAUGCCUGGCCCCCUGUGCCAUGCUCCACAAGCCAGUUCGGCGCCCUGGAUCGUCUCCUCCUCGAGGCUGUAGUCCAUCUCUACAUGCGUUGUCCUUGGCGUGAGCUCUCCAGUGGAACUGACCUGGGGGAAGUGUCUGGUCCUGUGGGCCUGAGAGGAACCUGACGAUUGGCGUCAGGGCCCUGCUAUCACGAAGGUGGCGAGGUAGCUCGAUACCCACGGGGACUGUCUGUGACUCCAUGGUUGUUACAGAGCCUGGAAGUACAGAACUCACGCCCUGGCUGGGUUUUCACCCUGGUUCCUGCCGGCCUGCCCUGGGGUUGCACCCGCACUCACGAGCCGCCGCUGGACAGCAUGACACCAGGGGUGGGGAGACAGCUGGCUGGACAGAUGAACGGAUGUGUGUUUGUAGGGAUGGACGGGCAGACCCUCUGCACACAACUGAGGCGGUUUAUUCCCUGUGCAUUUCCCCUAAUUCCCGCUCGGGAGCUUCCCAGCAUGGAGACCUGGGAGAUGGGUCAGAAACGAGAGGGAGUGUGGGCUAUAUUGGCAGAGAGAAAGGAGGGUCAGGACAAAAUUGGGAGGCAAGAUCAAACCAGUAUCUUACAUGCCUCUAUACAAAUGCGAGAAGUAUGGGUAAUAAGCAGGAAGAACUGGAAGUGCUAAUAAAUAAAUACAACUAUGA